CUCCUCCUCCUCCUCUUCUGUCUUACCCCUCCAUGUGGUUCCUGUGGCUAGUGCGCCCUCUGCUGGUGUCCAGUCCGUACGCCGUGUGCACUGUGCUGCUGGUGCUGAUCUACAGGGGGCAGCGUCGCACAGGAAGUCCACACCCUGUUUCCAUGGAGACGGGCCAGCAGGAGGAGGAGUAUGAUGACAUCGCCGCUGAGGUCACCACCGAGCACAGCUUCUGAGCCAAUCACAGCUCUGCUUUCAUCUUUAAAUGAGUCUGACAUUUCAGUUAGAACUUAAGAAAUAUAUGUAUGAAAUAUAGUGUUAAGAUUCA